AAUCUUGCGAUCGUACUCCCCAGGCGGCAGGCAAGUCUGGUGUCAGCGCCCGCGGUAAUACCAGCACCCCGAGUGGUCGGGACGAUUAUUGGGCCUAAAGCAUCCGUAGCCGGUUCUGCCCAAGUCUUCCGUUAAAUCCACCUGCUCAACAGAUGGGCUGCGGAGGAUACUACAGGGCUAGGAGGCGGCUGAGGCAAGCGGUACUCAGUGGGUAGGGGUAAAAUCUCACUCUGAUCCACUGAAGACCACCAGUGGCGAAGGCGGCUUGCCAGAACGCGCUCGACGGUGAGGGAUGAAAGCUGGGGGAGCAAACCGGAUUAGAUACCCGGGUAGUCCCAGCUGUAAACGAUGCAGACUCGGUGAUGGGUUGGCUUUGGGCCAACCCAGUGCCGCAGGGAAGCCGUUAAGUCUGCCGCCUGGGGAGUACGGUCGCAAGACUGACAACUUAAAGGAAUUGGCGGGGGAGCACCACAAGGGGUGAAGCCUGCGGUUCAAUUGGAGUCAACGCCGGAAAUCUUACCGGGGUGGCGACAGCAGAGUGAAGGUCAAGCUGAAGACUUUACCAGACAAGCUGAGAGGAGGUGCAUGGCCGUCGCCAGCUCGUGCCGUGAGGUGUCCUGUUAAGUCAGGUAACGAGCAAGAUCCCUGCCUCUAGUUGCUACUGCUGGUCUCAGGACUAGAAGGGCUAAUUAGAGGGACCGCCGCCGCUGAGGCGGAGGAAGGAGGGGGCUACGCGAGGUCAGUAUGCCCCGAAACCCUCGGGCCACACGCGGGCUGCAAUGGUAAGGACAACGGGCUCCGAUUCCGAAAGGAGGAGGCAAUCCCACAAACCUUACCUCAGUUUGAUUGGCAGGGCUGAAACUCGCUCUGAUAGCAG
rnacentral:rRNA from 1 species